rnacentral:misc_RNA from 1 species
UUGCAGCGAGCUCACCCCCACU